UAAGGAAUAUUCCACAAUGGGCGAAAGCCUGAUGGAGCGACGCCGCGUGCGGGAAGAAGCCUUUCGGGGUGUAAACCGCUUUUUUGAGGGAUGACAUGCCUGGGUAACCAGGAUACGACAGUACCUCAAGAAUAAGCAUCGGCUAACUACGUGCCAGCAGCCGCGGUAAUACGUAGGAUGCAAGCGUUGUCCGGAUUUACUGGGCGUAAAGCGCGCGCAGGCGGCAGCCUAAGUACGGAGUGAAAUCUCCCUGCUCAACGGGGAGGGUGCUCUGUAGACUGGGCAGCUAGAGGACGGUAGAGGGGGGUGGAAUUGCUGGUGUAGCGGUGAAAUGCGUAGAGAUCAGCAGGAACACCCGUGGCGAAGGCGGCCCCCUGGGCCGAACCUGACGCUGAGGCGCGAAGGCUAGGGGAGCGAACGGG
rnacentral:rRNA from 1 species